rnacentral:rRNA from 1 species
GGUUGUUUGUGAAUGCAGCCCAAAGUGGGUGGUAAACUCCAUCCAAGGCUAAAUACAAGCACGAGUCCGAUAGCGAACAAGUACCGUGAGGGAAAGUUGAAAAGUACUUUGAAGAGAGAGUAAACAGUGCGUGAAACCGCUCAGAGGUAAACGGGUGGAGUUGAACUGCAAUCUCUGUGGAUUCAGCUGGUGAGUAUGGUUUGGGCUUGGCCAAAUGGGUUGAGCUGCGGGGUCUGCUUAUUCGCAGGUCUUUGUCUUCGGGCAGGGAUGCACGAUGCACCUACCAUGUGCUGUGCGCCUCGUGGUUUCGAAUCUGCUCGCUAGUGCACUUUCGCAGGGUGUUCACCACGACCGGCAUUGCUGUCUGGCUAUUGUGGUUAAACCGGUCUUGCAUUGUCCUUGUGGCUUUGCUUGGUCGGGACGGCAGGUAGCUCGUUGGUUGUUCGUAGCUUGCUGCGUUCGGCCUCGGGUGUAAUCAGCUGACUUCAAUGGUUCUGUGCAGUAUGUCGGGGACGGCGGCUUGUUGUGUGUGCGUGCGUGCCGGUCUCAUGGGCGUGCUCGGGUAUGACUGUCAUGUUGCUUGCGUAAGCAGGCCUGGUGGUUGCUCGGGUUUGUUCUGUGGGUGGUUGCGUGCGUGGCACUAUACAGGGCCAAUAGUCUGUGGUGUAGUGGUAGACGAUCCACCCGACCCGUCUUGAAACACGGACCAAGGAGAGUAACAUGUGCGCGAGUCAUUGGGCGAAACGAAACCCAAAGGCGCAGUGAAAGUAAAGGCUUGGCUUUGUCCUUGCUGAGGUGAGAUCCUGUCGUUUCUCAUGCGUGGUACUACCAAGCAUCGAGCGGUGGGCGCAUCACCGGCCCGUCUCAUGACGUAGACACAUAGUCUUCGGACCAGUGCACCGUCGGGGCGGAGCAUGAGCGUACAUGUUGAGACCCGAAAGAUGGUGAACUAUGCUUGCGCAGGUUGAAGCCAGAGGAAACUCUGGUGGAGGACCGCAGCGAUUCUGACGUGCAAAUCGAUCGUCAAACGUGAGUAUAGGGGCGAAAGACUAAUCGAACCAUCUAGUAGCUGGUUCCCUCCGAA